UCCUAUUAACCUUGUAAUGUAAAACACUGCAGUUUUUUUUUUUUUUUUUUAAAUUUGAGGGUUAAGUUGAUUCAAUGGUUUUUCUAUGGGGACAUUUGAAUGUGCUGUCCUCUAUUAUGAGCAUUGGACUAGACAUCGGCAGAUGAGGCAUUCUGUCAUGGGAAGCGGAGAGGUAUGCAGUGCUGAGGGAGCCUCGACGCUGGAAAAACAUAAGUAAAACUGUACGUUUUUCAAAUCUUUACUGCAAAAGGGGAGAUAUAUUUCUGACUAGGGACAGGGAC